rnacentral:lncRNA from 1 species
UGAAGACUUCAGUUUGGGCUGGGGAUGUAGCUCUGGCACCUCGCUUGCCUCACAAGCACAAGGACCUGAGUUUGAUCCCUGGUACCAAAAACAAACCCAAAGACUUCAGUUUGAAAACAUUAUCUCAUAGUUGCAAGCAGGUGAAAUUAGAUGCCUGUCUCUCCCUGGUUAUAAACAUCAACUCUAAAUGGAUUAAAGGCCUUGAAUGUAAGACCAGAAGCCAUGGAACAGCUAGAAGAAAGCAGGAGAAAUGCUUCAAGACACUGGAAUGUGCUACAAUUUUUUGGAUAUGACCCCAAAAGCGCAAAAAACAAAAGCAAAAAUAGACAGAUGGGAUUAUAGCACACUAAAAAGCUGUACAGUAAAGGAAACAGAGUGAAGAUAGAACUAGGGAAUGGGGGAAUACUUGCAAGCUAUGCACAUGACCUGGGGUUAUAAUCCAGGAUAUGGAAGGGACUCAAAAAACCUCAACAGCUGGGGAUGUAGCUCAGUGGCACUGCACUUGCAUGGCAAGCACAAGGUCCUGAGUUUGAUUCCUGGCACCUAAAAAACCCCUGAGCAAACAAUAGAAUAGAUAUUUUUUAAAAAGGGCCAGGGAUUUAGCUCAGAGGCAGUGCCUGCCUGGCAAGCGUGAGGGCCUGAGUUCAAUCCCCGGUACCCCCCUCCCCAAAUGGCAAACAGGUGUGUGUGUUCAGUGUCACUACUAUACUGGGAAUGCAGUUCAAAACAGGUGUUACCUCACUGCAGCAAGAACGACCAUUACCCAAAAAACAAAAGGUAACACAUAAGCCUGGGUGUGGUGAAAAGGGAAGCCCUGUACACUGCUGGUGGGAAUAUAAAUUACUGCAGGCAUUUGGGAAAACAGUAUAAACAGAUGUAACCACACGACCCAGCAAUCCCAUACUGGGUGUGUAUCCAGAGGAAACGAAAUCACGUUGAAGAGAGAUCUGCACUGUGUUCACAGCCAAGGAAUGGGAACAAGCGAACUGUCCAUCAACUGACAAGUGGGGAGCAAGAGUGGCAAACGCACACUAAGAAAUGUUAUUGUCACAAAAAGAAUCCUGUCGCGUAGCAACAUGGGCAGAACUAGAGCUCACCGUUCGGGGAUGAACUGGUGCCCCUUGUGGAACCUAGAACAACCGGUCCCAAAGUUGGGAGGCAUGGUGGUUCCCAGAGACUGGGAGCAUGGGAUCACAGGGUAGAGUCUGGCAGAUAACUAAGCUGUAGUUGGGGGACAACUUCUGAUGAGCUGCUGCACGGCAGGGUGGUAGGACGAUGACAGUCCUCCCAGCUCCCAGCUAGAGGACAGGUGUGUGACUGCUCACCACAGGGACAUGAAAAGAGACAGCUGAGCCUGCCUUGGUUUGAACAUUACGCAAUGUACACAUGUCAGAAUAUUACAUGGUUACCAUAAAUAUGUACGGUUUUUGUCAAUUAAAAAUAAUUUUGAACUCACGUCAUUUACCCACAUUGGCAACCCUCUUAGGGGAUGCAGUUCUAGCUCUUACUGACUCAAAGCUGCAUUUUCCUGAAGCAGACAGUGAAGUUAUUGGUUUGAAAAGAAUCCAAGAAGGGGCCAGGGAUUUAGCUCGGUGGUUUUGCCGCCUGCUGCACAAACACAAGGACCUGAGUUUGAUCCCCGUUACCAAAAAAAAAAAAAAAAAAAAAAAAAGAAUCCAAGAACCUUUGCUCAGUGGGAAGAGACACAGCGUUGCUGCCCCACUGCCCACACUGACCUGCCCAGUCUGCCUGUGUUGAGCGCACCGUGGGACAAUUCUUCUUUGCCCAGGACAACAGUGUGGCUCAGAGGUCGGGAAAUUCUGGAUGAGAAUGCUCAGGUUGUGCAAUCGGAUCGGAGAGUGAUUUCAAAGAAAGCACUAUGUAGAAAGUGGAGGUGACCCUCUCUCCAAGGACAGCCCUGCCCUAAGAAAAACAGCUCAACAAGGCUUCAUAUGCAGCGAAGGACUGAGCAGCCCCAUGGACUGCCGCUACACCGCCCGACCCACCCCUGAAAUGCACUUUCUCCUACACUGGACUCAGUUUCCCCACUAAACAACCAGCAGAGGUACAAAUCACGUAGACUUUUUUUCGGGACCUUGCGCUUUCAAGGCAGGCGGCAGAACCACUGAGCUAGAUCCCCAGCCCUAAAUCACGAAGACUUUUAAAGUUCUAAUUUGGUUUAUGCAUUCUUUGCAAAUUUGAUUUGAUGAAAAUGCAUUAUUACAGUCCUGAUUCUGGAAGCGUUAUUGUAACAGCGGGGCACAGUGGCACACAACUGUAAUCCCAACUCUCACGAGGCUGAGGCUGGAGGAUUGCUGCAAGCUCAAGGCCAGCCUGGGCUACAUAUACGUUCAGGAGCAGCCUGCACUACAGUGCGACCCUCAAAAGAAAAGAAAAUGUAUCCGGACAUGGUGGCGCAUGCCUGCAAUCCCAGCACCUGGGAGGUAGAGGCAGAGUGCUAUGACUUUGAGCUCAGCCUGGGCUACAUAGUGAGUUCAGGUCCAGCCUGAAAUACAUAGCAAGACUGACUUAAAAAAAAGAAAAUGUUAUCCUAGUACAUGAAGAGAUGGAGAGAUGGAG